rnacentral:rRNA from 1 species
UACGGAGGGUGCAAGCGUUGUCCGGAAUCAUUGGGUGCAAAGGGUGCGCAGGCGGAAGUCUAAGUCGGAGGUGAAAGUUUGCCGCUUAACGGUAAAAGCGCCUUCGAAACUGGAUUUCUUGAGUUCGGAAGAGGUCGGUGGAAUUCGUGGUGUAGCGGUGAAAUGCAUAGAUAUCACGAAGAACACCAGUGGCGAAGGCGGCCGACUGGUCCGAUACUGACGCUGAGGCACGAGAGCGUGGGGAGCGAACAGG